UACGAAGGGAGCUAGCGUUGUUCGGAAUCACUGGGCGUAAAGGGCGCGUAGGCGGUUCGUACAGUCAGACGUGAAAUUCCUGGGCUCAACCUGGGGGCUGCGUUUGAUACGUGCGGACUUGAGUGCGGAAGAGGGUCGUGGAAUUCCCAGUGUAGAGGUGAAAUUCGUAGAUAUUGGGAAGAACACCGGUGGCGAAGGCGGCGACCUGGUCCGAUACUGACGCUGAGGCGCGAAAGCGUGGGGAGCAAACAGG
rnacentral:rRNA from 1 species